UUUGGGGCGUGUGAGUGGUGUUUGGAUCGUCCCUGCCGGCUGGCUCCGUGCCCGUCCACCGAACGGCCGGCAGGCGGUCCGCGUCGGUCACGCUGGGUGGUAUGGUUCCCCAGAGGUCGGUUCUUGUGCUGCCUACCCCUUCAGGGGAAGCGGGCCACUUGAUGUAAGCCUCCAUCCGGCGCCCUCCAACGGGCGCAGGAGGACAACGUAGCACCCCCCGCGUUCCACCGAGCCUCCGUCGGUCGCGUGGCGCGCGGGGACGUGCGAUGCUCUCGGACCCAGCGAACGCCGUGGGCGAGGACUCACGUCCCAGUCCCGAUAGAAGCUCCGAUAUAAUGCAUGACGGCCGCUCCCGUCCCCCGACCGCCCCGGCGGCGCGGGGGCGAGGCGCGGCGUCGCGGAGGAAUGCUACCUGGUUGAUCCUGCCAGUAGUCAUAUGCUUGUCUCAAAGAUUAAGCCAUGCAUGUGUAAGUAAA
rnacentral:misc_RNA from 1 species